rnacentral:rRNA from 1 species
GGGGGCUGAUCGUUCGGUCUAGCCUGCCCACUGAAAAUUUUAAAUGGCCGCAGUAUAUUAACUGUGCAAAGGUAGCAUAAUCAUUAGUCUUUUAAUUGAAGGCUGGUAUGAAUGGUUGGACGAAAUAUUUACUGUUUCAAAUAAAAUUGUUAUAGAAUUUUAUUUUUUAGUUAAAAAGCUAAAAUUUGAUUAAAAGACGAGAAGACCCUAUAAAUCUUGAUAGUUUAUUUAUUUUUAGUUAUAAAGAAUAAUUAUAUUAAAAUUAAAUAAAUUAUUUUAUUGGGGUGAUAUUAAAAUUUAAUAAACUUUUAAUUUAUUAAAUCAUUAAUUUAUGAAUAUUUGAUCCAAUUUUAUUGAUUAAAAAUUUAAGUUACUUUAGGGAUAACAGCGUAAUUUUUUUGGAGAGUUCAUAUCGAUAAAAAAGAUUGCGACCUCGAUGUUGGAUUAAGAGAUACCUUUAGGUGUAGCCGCUUAAAUAUUAAGUCUGUUCGACUUUUAAAUUCUUACGUGAUCUGAGUUCCAGACCGGA